rnacentral:rRNA from 1 species
UACGGAGGGUGCAAGCAUUAAUCGGAUUUAUUGGGCGUAAAGGGCGCGUAGGCGGAGAUGUAAGUCAGAUGUGAAAUCCCGAGGCUCAACCUCGGAACUGCAUUUGAAACUACAUCCCUUGAGGAUAGUAGGAGAAAACGGAAUUCCACAUGUAGCGGUGAAAUGCGUAGAUAUGUGGAGGAACACCGGUGGCGAAAGCGGUUUUCUAUAUUAGACCUGACGCUGAGGCGCGAAAGCAAGGGGAGCAAACAGG